GGAAGUAGGGCAAGGGAGACAGCUGUGCUCAGCCAGGGCCAUGCGGUUGCUCAUGUUGGGGGCUCUGCGAGCCCAGACCGGGAACGGCACCACCGCGAGGAGGAUCCAGGAUCAUCUAGAAGCUGCUGGUCACUCAUGUACCCUCGUGGAUAUCUCUUCCUGCAAAUCCCCAUUGGCAGUUUCAAAUCUCAUCUCCUCUGAGAACUUCGAGGCAGCUCUGGGCAUUCAUCUUUAUAAAGCAGGCAGACUUCUGCAAGGCAGCGGGAUUCCUUUUGGAAUCAUCUUUGGUGGAACCGACAUCAAUGAAGAUGCCAAGUGUGACGAGAAGGCCAAAGUGAUGGGGAGAGUGUUGGAGGAAGCCAGGUUUGCAGUGUCCUUCACAGAGUCAAUGAAGGAAGCAGCUGCAGUGUAUUGGCCUCGUGCCAGGAGUAAAAUAUAUGUUCAGGCUCAAGGAAUUGUGACCACCUGCAACGCUUCUUUCAACUGGAAGAGAUUUCUGCAGUCUGAAGGGAUUCUCCAGGACAGCAGCAGUCUGCGCCUCUUCCUCUUGAUAUGUGGUCUGAGAAGGGUCAAGGAUCCUCUUUAUUUAGUGGAUGCUUUUGCAGAAUGGCACAGAGAGGAACCCAGCACACACCUGAUUAUAAUUGGACCCGCAGUAAGUUUCCCCGCUUUCUUUGUUGAUCCACUGUUUGCAGAGGAAGUCAAAGAGAAAAUCAAAAGGGUGGAUGGGGUUCAUUUGCUACAGGAGAUCUCUCAAGAAGACCUGCACGCUCUUGUGAAAAAAUGCUUUGCCGUUGUCAACAGUUCCAUUUCAGAGGGGAUGUCGGCCACAAUCUUAGAGGCAAUGGAUUUAAAUGUUCCGGUGAUGGCAAGGAAUAUCCCAGGGAAUGCUGCAGUAAUCACACACAAGACAACUGGGCUGCUAUACUCAAACCCCCAGGUAAAAAAAGAAGUGCCGUAAUGACCCAAUGCACACCAGCAUUGAGAGCCAGUGUUGUGUAACAACUAGAGUGUUGGACUAGGACCUGGGAGACCAGGGUUCAAAUCCCCACUCAGCCAUGAAGCUCUCUGGGGGACCUUCAGCCCGCCACUCACUCUCAGCCUGACCUACCUCACAGGGUUGUUGUUAAGAUAAAAUGGGGAGGAGAACUGCAUGUGCCACCUUGAACUCCUUUCAGGAAAGGUGGGGUAUAAAUGCAAUCAACAACAACAAAUGCUGGAAUUUAAACCUACAUAGGUUAGGGUUAAGGACCCAGGUGGCGCUGUGGGUUAAACCACUGAGCCUAGGGCUUGCCGAUCAGAAGGUCGGCGGUUCGAAUCCCUGUGACGGGGUGAGCUUCCAUUGCUUGGUCCCAGCUCCUGCCAACCUAGCAGUUCGAAAGCACGUCAAAAUGCAAGUAGAUAAAUAGGAACCGCUACAGCAGGAAGGUAAACAGCGUUUCCAUGUGCUGCUCUGGUUUGCCAGAAGCGGCUUUGUCAUGCUGGCCACAUGACCUGGAAGCUGUACGCCGGCUCCCUCGGCCAAUAAUGCGAGAUGAGCGCGCAACCCCAGAGUCGGUCACGACUGGACCUAAUGGUCAGGGGUCCCUUUACCUUUACCGUAGUUUAGGGUUAUGGUAUUCAGUGGUGAAGGAUAUGAUCACCGUUGAUAUCAAAUGACACGUAAUUCAUGUUGGGCUCCCCCCCCCAUUUGUAUUGUGUUUCCUUUGCACUGAAGUGAAUGGCGUGGAAUAAUAUAAUAAUUCCAGUGCUGCUGUAUGUGACAAACAUGGCUUAGAAUGAAAAUUGACACCUUCUUACCUCCCUAAGUUCCACGUUCUCAAAUCGGCUUCCCACAAUGCGGCUGAGCAAUUCUACACCAGACACUCUAGGGUAUUUGGGGAAACCUCAAAUGGCUGGCAGCUUUGAAAACCUGGCUGCUGCCAGCGAAUAAGCCUGUGGCCAGGGAAACAGAUUUGUGGGGAGGAGGCCAAAGCAAUACUAACCCCAUAAAGGUCAAAGUGGGUUUAUUGCCAGGCACCAGGGUACUAGCAGCUACUUAAGAAGAGUGAUGGGAGAGAUGGAAGUCUCCAGGGGAGACCUUAGACAAUACCUUUUCGCUUGAAAGGGACCUGAAGGAUGGAUCACAUUUUAAGGAAUGGGGAGGGCUGUGGUUCCAAGGCAGAGCAUCUUAUUUGCCUGCAGAAGGCAUCCCCCACCAUCUCCAGGCAGGACUUUGCAAGAUCCCCUGUCUGAAAUCCUAGAGAGCCCCUAGUGGUCAGUGCAGACAGUAUGAUUAUGAUAUAUUAAAUUUGUUGGUCACUUCAUCUUGUCCAAGGAAACCAACAGCAACCAACCAAUAAACAAAGGAGCAACCACACAGAGAUACAUUAAAACCAAAGGGAAACUGAAAUGCAUUAAAAACAACCCACCCAAUUCUAAAAGGACACAGAGAUUUAAAUGCCAAAGGCCUGGUUAUAGAGUAAAUUUUUUGCCUGUCACUGAAAGAAAUGUAAGGAUGGCGGCAGGUGAACCUCCCUGGGGAGUUGUUGUUGUUUAGUCGUUUAGUCGUGUCCGACUCUUCAUGACCCCAUGGACCAGAGCACGCCAGGCACUCCUGUCUUCCACUGCCUCCCGCAGUUUGGUCAAACUCAUGUUCGUAGCUUCGAGAACACUGUCCAACCAUCUCGUCCUCUGUCGUCCCCUUCUCCUUGUGCCCUCCAUCUUUCCCAGCAUCAGGGUCUUUUCCAGGGAGUCUUCUCUUCUCAUGAGGUGGCCAAAGUAUUGGAGCCUCAGCUUCAGGAUCUGUCCUUCCAGUGAGCACUCAGGGCUGAUUUCCUUCAGAAUGGAUAGGUUUGAUCUUCUUGCAGUCCAUGGGACCCUCAAGAGUCUCCUCCAGCACCAUAAUUCAAAAGCAUCCAUUCUUCGGCGAUCAGCCUUCUUUAUGGUCCAGCUCUCACUUCCAUACAUCACUACUGGGAAAACCAUAGCAUUCCACAAUUGGGGAGCCACCACAGAACAGGCCUUCUGUGCAUGCUCUAGUUAUCUCCCGCUUGGACUACUGUAAUGCGCUCUACGUGGGGCUACCUUUGAAGGUGACCUGGAAACUGCAAUUAAUCCAGAAUGCGGCAGCUAGACUGGUGACUGGGAGUGGCCGCCGAGACCACAUAACACCGGUCCUGAAAGACCUACAUUGGCUCCCAGUACGUUUCCGAGCACAAUUCAAAGUGUUGGUGCUGACCUUUAAAGCCCUAAACGGCCUCAGUCCAGUAUACCUGAAGGAGCGUCUCCUCCCCCAUCGUUCUGCCCGGACACUGAGAUCCAGCACCGAGGGCCUUCUGGCGGUUCCCUCGCUAUGAGAAGCCAAGUUACAGGGAACCAGGCAGAGGGCCUUCUCGGUAGUGGCGCCCACCCUGUGGAAUGCCCUCCCACCAGAGGUCAAAAAGAAUAACAAUUACCAGACCUUUAGAAGGCAUCUUAAGGCAGCCCUGUUUAGGGAAGCUUUUAAUGUUUGAUUGAUUUCUGUAUUUUAAUAUUUUGUUGGAAGCUGCCCAGAGUGGCUGGGGGAACCCGGCCAGAUGGGUGGGGUAUAAAUAAUAAAUUAUUAUUAUUAUUAUCAUUAUUAUUAUUAUUGUGUUGCCACAAGACCUAGACCUCUCGUGAAGGAGGCACAUGAGGAAGACACUCCGUGCCACUGAGGCCACUCAAGCCUGGAUCCAGAAGUACCCCCAAGCUAUGUACCUUCUCCUUCAGAGGGAGUGCAACCAUAUCAAGAGCAGGCAACAUCCAAUCCAUCCAGUCUAGGGAACCGCUCACUAACAGUGCCUCAGUCUUAUGUUGAUUGAGCUUCUGUUGGCUCUCAUCCAGUCUGCUACCACAGCAAGACAACGGUCCAAGGGGUCCAAUAUAUAAUGUUCUUAUGUUCCUAUGUUCUGAUAUUCCACCACUCCCACCUGGUUAGCAUUUAGUAUUCUAAAGGCAACUGGCACCCAGGUAGCAGCAGGAACAGCAGCGAAACCCAACUAUCACUUUGAUUUUAAGUCCCCAGCAUGUCUCCUUCGCGCACAACCAUGCUUUUGAAGCUUCACCCUAUAUCCCAAUUAACUGGUGGCCUUAAUUAGGCUUGGAAAGGAGGGGUGUGUGAGAGUAUUAAUCCUGUUGAGUCUAUAAAUUAAAUUUGGCCUCCAAAAACAGCUAAGUGCAAUGAUAUCGUGCUCCGUAAGGGGGAAAAAACCCAACACCAGCAGAUUAAAUAAAACUGCAGAGUGUAAAAUGCAUUUUUGUUCAGGGUGCCUAUGAUUAAUGCAUACUAUUAAGUCAAGUCUGAGGAAGGUAGAUUCUCUGUUUUCAUUAGACUUUGGCAGUCGCUCUUCCCUUACCCCUGACCCUCCUCCCACCCACCCCUUCCGAUAAAACGAUUGUGCCGAACAUUUUUCUCCCUGGAGAGUUCAUUGUUCCCCACGGUCUUCACAAAUGAAUCUCUUUGUUAACAAAUGCAAUUGGUUUUUCCGGAAAGAAAGGUACUUGUAUCAACGUGGAACUCACCUCCCCACCCCUGCUGUGCGUUGGAGAGACAGAACUGCUUGAUCUCAAGCAAAUGAGAGGUUGCUUAUUGCCCAUAGAUCUUAAGUCUGCAAGUUCGGCUAGUCCUUCAUGGCCUCCGUACAGGAAUACUAGUUCCUGAACGUUAAACAACUUUGGAUACUGGUCUCACACCUCCUUCAUAUAUGCUUGCCCCCAAAUGUAGAGAGAGACUGGAUCCAGCUGGUGGGCCAGAUCCUGAUCUCCCCCACCCCCCCCCCCCAGGCUCAUUGUGGGAGUGAAACUGGUGGAAAGGUGGCGUUGUGCAAUUGAUAGCUGCAACAGCAUCCUCCCUGACCACCAGCCCUGCCUUUUUAUUUGAGGAGGAAGGAUUCCACGCUGAAAGGGUUUUAGACAAUCCCUUGACCUUCACUGUAAAGGAGAGCUUGCCAAAGUUUGAAAAGUAAGUUCUGUUUCAGGGUGGCAAACCUCAGGUCCUUGGGCCAUAUGUGGCCCUCCAUGCUCUCUGUCUGGCCCUCAGGAUUUUCCCCAGGCCACGCCCCUCACUGGCCUGCACUCCACCUUCUUGACUGUUUUUGCCUCCCUGGAAUGUGUUGUUUUAUUCAUUUGCAUGUAUGUGUGUUUCAAUUUUUUUCUGCACAAAAGCAUACAGAAGCAAAGAUUACAGGAAUAUAUGUGUUCUGAAAGCUGUUAUUCUUGCAGAACAUAUCCUAUUAUGAUUUCAUUCUUUGAGUUUGUCCAGCUGUCUAAAAGCCUGAUCAGCGACCCAUUUUUGCACAAAGAGAUUGUAAUGAAGGCAA